UACGAAGGGGGUGAGCGUUGUUCGGAAUCACUGGGCGUAAAGGGCGCGUAGGCGGCCUCUCUUGCCGCGUGUGAAAGCCCCGGGCUCAACCUGGGAACGGCGCGCGAGACGGGGGGGCUGGAGUUCGGGAGAGGAGCGUGGAAUUCCCAGUGUAGAGGUGAAAUUCGUAGAUAUUGGGAAGAACACCGGUGGCGAAGGCGGCGCUCUGGGACCACAACUGACGCUGAGGCGCGAAAGCUAGGGGAGCAAACAGG
rnacentral:rRNA from 1 species